rnacentral:rRNA from 1 species
UACAGAGGGGGCAAGCGUUGUUCGGAAUUACUGGGCGUAAAGGGCGCGUAGGCGGCCUUCUUAGUCGAACGUGAGAUCCCCGGGCUCAACCCGGGAACUGCGUCCGAUACUGGAAGGCUUGAAUCCGGGAGAGGGAUGCGGAAUUCCAGGUGUAGCGGUGAAAUGCGUAGAUAUCUGGAGGAACACCGGUGGCGAAGGCGGCAUCCUGGACCGGCAUUGACGCUGAGGCGCGAAAGCCAGGGGAGCAAACGGG